rnacentral:RNase_P_RNA from 1 species
CAGCUGCGCCGGGUGAUCGCCGCCGGUGACGGUUCGCCGCCGCCGGGGGAGGAAAGUCCGAGCUCCAUAGGGCAAGGGUGCCGGGUAACGCCCGGUGGGGGUGACCCCAAGGAAAGUGCCACAGAGAGCAAACCACCACGCGUCGCGUGGGCCCAUCUUCGGAUGGACCUGCGCGGGGCGAGGAAAGGGUGAAAGGGUGCGGUAAGAGCGCACCGGGCGGCUGGUAACAGUCGUCGCACGGUAAACCCCACCCGGAGCAAGACCGAACAGGGAUUCGGCCGAAAGGCCGAGAGGCGGCCCGCCUUCGUUCCCGGGUAGCGUCGCUCGAGCCGCGUGGUAACGCGCGGCCUAGAUGAAUGAUCACCUCUGCGCAGGCGGGCAACCGCGGCGCGGACAGAACUCGGCUUACAGGCCAGUCUGCGAC